AGCUUCAGUAGCGUAUAUUAAAGUUGUUGCAGUUAAAAAGCUCGUAGUCGCAUUUCUGGCGAGAGGAUCCGGUCCGACCUUUUGGUGGGUUCUUGGGUCUCUUUCGCCAUCCUUGAGUGGUCCGUUCUGGCAUUAGGUUGUCGGAGCGUCAGCCGCUCAUCGUUUACUGUGAGAAAAUUAGAGUGUUCAAAGCAGGCUUAUGCCGUUGAAUAUAUUAGCAUGGAAUAAUAAGAUAGGACCUCGGUACUAUUUUGUUGGUUUGUGCACCAAGGUAAUGAUGAACAGGGACAGUUGGGAGUAUUUGUAUUUCGUUGUCAGAGGUGAAAUUCUUAGAUUUACGAAAGACAAACUACUGCGAAAGCAUUUACCAAGGAUGUUUUCA
rnacentral:rRNA from 1 species